GUACAUCUUUCAUGAACUUUUUCUUCUACUUAAAUAAAAGUGACUAUUAAACUUUUGGUAUGAAAAGCUAACGGAUCAACUGCCAAAAAAUCAAGUUUGUAUAACUUACACGCAAACCGUGCACAGAAACCAUAAACGCAAAAGGUAUACAUUUGUGUCUCUUCGUCAGCUCUGCUAUUAAUGUUUUAAAUGAAAUAAUGUCAAAAUGUAUUAUACCAUUGUUUAAGAAAGCUGGAACUUAUGGAAAUAGAUCAUUUAAAAAAAAACUUUAUUGAGUAGAGUAAUCAUAGGAACAUUAGUGUCACAUACAGCAAAAUUCGAUUUGGUCGAUAAGUUGAAAGGCGAUUGUUUGAAGAGAAUAAUAGAAUAAAUAG